CAGUAGCCGCGGUAAUACGAAGGGGGCUAGCGUUGCUCGGAAUGACUGGGCGUAAAGGGCGCGUAGGCGGAUUGUUUAGUUAGGCGUGAAAUUCCUGGGCUUAACCUGGGGACUGCGCUUAAUACAGGCAGUCUAGAGUGAGGAAGAAGGUUGUGGAAUUCCCAGUGUAGAGGUGAAAUUCGUAGAUAUUGGGAAGAACACCGGUGGCGAAGGCGGCAACCUGGUCCUUGACUGACGCUGAGGCGCGAAAGCGUGGGGAGCAAACAGGAUUAGAGACCCCAGUAGUCCCUGUCUCUUAUAC
rnacentral:rRNA from 1 species